AUUGGCCUCCGAAGCCAAGGGUCGCUGGUCCGAUUCCAGCCAGCCGCA
rnacentral:tRNA from 1 species